CCCAUGAUAUUCUUAAUCAUUAAGUAAUAUGCACGACUUCAACUAUUUAAAGACCACUCAUUUACCUCCUAAAUAAUAUAUUAGCUCCCUGAACUCGUCCCUAAGUGAUUCCAAGUGAAAAGAGGGUGAAACAGCCAAAGAGAAUUAGAAGCAAGAAGCUGGAAUUUCUGAACAGCUUUGUUACUCCACAGUUUUGAGGCGACUUUUUGACGUUGAGCGAAAAAGGGAAUUGAUACACACUCCAUAGGAGCUUACACACAUAAAGGCGAAAGGUGAACACGGAACUACAUAGAGAGUAUGGCUAGCUG